rnacentral:rRNA from 1 species
AGUAGUUGAUCAUGGCUCGAGGACGAACGCUGGCGGCGUGCUUAACACAUGCAAGUUGAACGAAGGUACGUUUCGGAUGGAACCUUAGUAGCGGACGGGUGAGUAACGCGUGAGCAACCAACCUUUGUGAGGGGGACAACAGCUGGAAACGGCUGCUAAUACCGCAUGAGGCCACGGUGUCGAGUGACACUGGGGUAAAAGAUUUAUCGCACAAAGACGGGCUCGCGUCCCAUUAGCUAGUUGGUGAGGUAACGGCUCACCAAGGCGACGAUGGGUAGCCGACCUGAGAGGGUGAUCGGCCACACUGGAACUGAGACACGGUCCAGACUCCUACGGGAGGCAGCAGUGGGGAAUAUUGGGCAAUGGGCCGCAAGCCUGACCCAGCAACGCCGCGUGAGGGAAGAAGGUCUUCGGAUUGUAAACCUCUGUCCUUGGGGACGAAAAAAUGACGGUACCCGAGGAGGAAGCUCCGGCUAACUACGUGCCAGCCGCAGC